GCUUUGCUGCUUUGCAGGAGGCUGUGCAGGACAAUCAGCAACUAGAAGUGCAGUGGGAUGCCUUUCGGAGGCGUUUGGAUGAUGAGUUACAACUGAGCGCUAAAAUACUGGAGGGGAACCAUCAGUCAAAGUCUACUUCACCAGAUACAUCUCUCAUUGAUGCCGAAACAGGUGGAACAAUGACAUUAGAGAAAUAUCUUGGUAAAGAUAAAAAAGACCCUGCUAAUUUUGAUCUGUCAGUUCUCGUCACUACUCGGCCAUCUCCACCUUAAAGAUCUGGAGAAGAAUAAGGUGAUGUCCACCUCUUUGGGCUCCGGUUUCCUCUGCAGCUGAAUCAGAUGAACAAACAUUUUGUUAACAGCCAUUUUAAGUGGACACCAUAUCGACAACGUAACAUGAUCCUUCCAAUAUUUACGAAGCCCCUGAUGCGUUUGGAUCAAUAAGUUAAUUCACACAUUUCUGUGGACUGCAAUCAAAGGGGGAUCAGCUGUCAUGUGCAGGUCCCAGGCUGGGGAUAGCCUGCUGCUGAAUGGGGGAAAUGCACGGACGUGAGAACCCCUUGCAAACCCCCCAUCUGCACGUCAUGGAACAUUUACAGAACAGGGACCUCCCAUAUUUAAGGCGUGCAACAGAGCGCAUACACAACAGCGAGACCUGCCAUGCACCGGACUCACCACCUUAGGUGAAUAGGCUACACCGCCAAAGACGGAUACCGCUUGAUAGUGUAGAUCGGCGGGUGAGGAAGCAUAGAAUAACGGCCUUAAAACCCAAGCAUGACCGCGGUGUGAAACAGCGGGGAACGGAGGUUUAGCGGCCUCUGCGCAACGGGCAAAUCAUGUCAUUCCACCGAAAUUCUGAUACAAACCAGGGAAUCUUGUGUUCCAGGGUGGACAGUGCAACACGGGUGUAAGGAUCAAU